rnacentral:rRNA from 1 species
UACGAAGGGUGCUAGCGUUGUUCGGAAUUACUGGGCGUAAAGCGCGCGUAGGCGGCUUUUCAAGUCAGGGGUGAAAUCCCACGGCUCAACCGUGGAAUUGCCUUUGAAACUGUGAAGCUGGAGUGUCGGAGGGGAUAGCGGAAUUCCUAAUGUAGAGGUGAAAUUCGUAGAUAUUAGGAGGAACACCGGUGGCGAAGGCGGCUAUCUGGACGACAACUGACGCUGAGGCGCGAAAGCGUGGGGAUCAAACAGG